UCUCCUAUUCCCCUUCCUCUUCUCUGUUCCGCAGAAAAGUCUCCUCUGAUUCAGCUUACCUCCGCCACCUCCGGCGUUGCUGCACACCGGCGCGAGUUCGUCUCCCUCCUAGAGUUCCCCGCUGAUUACCCGCCGCGGAUGCGUUUUGCCAUCGCACGAACCCCGUGGCAAACCCUAGACGUCCGCGUCGGUGAUAUGGCGCGGGCUACCCAUGGGCAGCGGCUGGGCCCGCCUGCGCUGCACCACGACGACCUGCUCCUAUGGACACCCGCGCUAUCUCAGUAUCACUCUCUCGGCUGGCCUCUAGCAUCGCUGCUGGAUUUAUCCAAUGAUGUUGCACAGCAACAUCUUCAUUGACUCCAGCGUCGAUGGGACAGCGGUGUUGUGGCCUCAAUUGACAGUUAUAGCGAAAACUCCGUCCACCUCCGCGGCUCUGUUUUUUACUGUUGAGGCGCCUAUGGCGCCGCCAUCGAGAGAUUCGUUGGAAAAGGUUGGAACAGCUCCGGCCUCUUCCCACCCUUGCAGCAAGACUCCCAUCCAGGCCAAUGAAGAUUGGAGCACCGACACAUGCGAGGAAAAUAAUGUUGGUUAGGCCACUGAGACAUCACAUCAGAGGGCACUGUGACAUUGAGGUUCUGGCAGAAUUUGCAUUUGGCCCUGCAAGGGCACUGGCAUUCCGCCACCAUGGUUGCAUUCCGCAGAUCGUCCACCGGGAUCUGAAGGCAAGCAACAUCUACUUCAACUUUUACAUGGAGCCUAGAUUGUCUGAUUUUGGGUCAUCAAAGAUCGAUGGGACUAGCACAAACGAGGAUCUGCUGCACCAUUCUCCUGGCUAUGCUCCGGCAGAAUUCUCAAAUUCAAAGAACGCUAAGUCUGACGGCAUCAUGCUGUUUGAGCUGAUCACCGCCAACGAGCCACUGGGUGAUGAGUCCCCUUACCGGAAGGAGGCGAACCUGGUAAACUGGGUGGGGCCAAUGGUUAAGGAAAACCAAGGUCGAGCAUCAUCGAUGUGAAGCUGUGUGAC